AUACAGCUGACGAGUCCCGAACAGAACGAAACACGCGUUUUGUAU
rfam:Schistosoma margrebowiei strain Zambia genome assembly, scaffold: SMRZ_scaffold0000053